GCAUAUGAGGAGCUUAGAAGUUGCCAUUUCAUCCUAACGACAACAACAACAAAGCUGAACACACUAAAAAAAUCAACACCUCUACUUAGAUCCAUCAGAGAAGUGAGAUCCCAGGGUAAACCUCUGCUCCAUAAAUUGGAGAAACAUACAGUUUCCAGAUCGGAACCAGUUUUUGGACUCAGAAUACAUUGAAGAAGAGGCCAGAUCUCCAGAAGGAAGGAUCCCAUAAUACCACAGCAGGAAAACUUACAGGCCAGUCUCUUUCUCAGAGUCUUCAUCCCAGAGACCUAACCUGAGGCAGGCAGUCUAGUCAUGGUUUCAACACAAUAGUUCCUUCAAGCUCCUGUCUUACGGGAUGGCUCUGCUCGAACCUGCUCUGAAGACCUUGAUGCCAUGAUCGCUCUGGCCUCCCCGCUCCUCAGAGGAAAAGGGCAAGUAUCAGGACACUCUCAGCAGACCUUGACCUAGGCUUGGGCGAUGGCCCCUGUAUCUGUCUAGGCUGACCUGGGGCUGGGGCCUCUCUGUCCCUGCCACAACCCCACUUCACAGAAAAGAAGACUGAGACCCAAGAGUCCUACAUGCCAUGUCUCUUACUUGUGUAGUCCAUGUAACGAUGUGGGUGGGUCCAGAUAAGGAGCUUCUCAAUCUAGAACAAUCGGCUUUAUGCAUUCAACACAAAUAGAAGCUUGUUCAAAAGCCCAGGCUGGCACACAGUACAGUAUAUGCUUGGUCCAUGCAGCCCCUGCCCUCUACUUCCAAUCGUGCAGACCUUGAAUUUCCAAGCUUAUAUGUGUAUAGACAACCAGGAAGUAACCCGGGAGUGAGAGGAGUAUGGGCUUGGGCCCGGAUUCCAGGGCCAGUCUUGCUCAUUUCGGGCUGGGUGGCAGGCCAGAUGGGUGGUUCCAAUCUGAGACUCCACAGACAGGACAGUUGUGAGGUUCAUCGAGAAUGCCUGGACAGCACCUUACAACCUCCAGGCCCAAACGGAGCUGCCCUGACUGCCAAGGACAAGCCAACAGGCCUCUUCUACUCCCCAGGCUGCCUCAGAAAGAAGGUACCAGUGCUCUGGGCUUUGCAGUAUGCAGUCCCCGUGGGAAGCUAAUCACCAGCAGGUUGGAUGAAUUUGGGGAAUCAGUCAAUGCCACGUGAGCCACCACCCAGGAUCCCAUUUAGCUGAGGACACUGAGGAUGCACAUUUCCUGUAAGCAGAGGCACCACAUGAUGCCCCCUGAUGUGGGGACUCAGCCUCUAGCCUCAUCCCCAGCCAUGGCCACAUUUUCAGUCAUCACAGGGUAGAAAACCAAGGAGAAAAUUCACCUGCCGUCCCACCACCCAAAUCAUCAUCCCGGUUCCCUUCCAGCUCUUGGCUCAUAGGGAGUCAUCCCAGCAUUGAUGCCAUUCUGAAUCUUUCGAAGGUGGUUUGCCAUGUUGCCAUCACUUCAUAUCCAUCGUUUCAUAUCAUGGACUGACAUACUGGCUAUUUGUAUGGAUGAUGCUUCUCUCCUUCUAUCCCAGGGGGUGCCCAAGGCCAGGCCCAGUCAGCCAGGAGUCUGAGCUAUGCCUCUGUGCCUAGGUGUCCAGCCCAGAGCUCUGACUUUCCAUCAUGCCAGCCUCUCCUUAGGCCCUCAUGUGGAAGUGCUAGUAAGCUCCCAGGGAACUGUGGGCUCAGGCCUGCCUCGGUCUCCAGAGCAGAGUCUACAUGGCCCUCUCACCUGGUUCCAGGCCAGCAGCCUCCCCAAUACCACUGUGCGCAUCCGAGCCUAACUGGAAGGAAAAGUAGAGCACAUGGAAAAUCUAAAUGGCACUUACUGCAGGUCAUGACUUCAUGGGCCAGGGCUGAAGGCCGUCAGGGGGAUGAGAGCAGUUCCUCUUUGUGGUAUGGGUGCCUUCCCACCUGUAUUUAUUUCUAACUUUGUUUCCCAGGAGAGGCACAGGAGCUCCUCUGUCAACCUCAGUUUCCCUAGAGUUGAGCCAGCUGCUCUGAAGUCCCUUGCUUGAUAAAGACCCUAAACCGAGGCUGUGGUCUGGCCUGUGGGGACUGGACUGUGCACUUUCUCUGGGCUGAAAUGUGCCUCGUCCCCUGGUCUUGAACAAGCUGAACCUGAGUCACCAGGCCACCCUCCAUGUUCUGAGAUAAUUUGGCAACUUCACUCAGUCGUACUUGUUGACU